UGCAAGUCGAACGAACUUAAUCGUUAGUUUACUAAUGAAGCGGUUAGUGGCGGACUGGUGAGUAACACGUAAGCAACCUGCCUAUUAGAGGGGAACAACAGUUAGAAAUGACUGCUAAUACCGCAUAUGCCAUAAGUAUCGCAUGAUACAAGUGGGAAAGGAGCAAUCCGCUAAUAGAUGGGCUUGCGUCUGAUUAGAUAGUUGGUGGGGUAACGGCCUACCAAGUCGACGAUCAGUAGCCGAGUUGAGAGACUCUACGGCCACAUUGGGACUGAGAUACGGCCCAGACUCCUACGGGAGGCAGCAGUCGGGAAUAUUGCGCAAUGGAGGAAACUCUGACGCAGUGACGCCGCGUGCAGGAAGAAGGUUUUCGGAUUGUAAACUGCUUUAGACAGGGAAGAAAAAGACAGUACCUGUAGAAUAAGCUCCGGCUAACUACGUGCCAGCAGCCGCGGUAAUACGUAGGGAGCAAGCGUUAUCCGGAUUUAUUGGGUGUAAAGGGUGCGUAGACGGGAAAAUAAGUUAGUUGUGAAAUCCCCAUGCUUAACAUGGGAACUGCAACUAAAACUGUUUUUCUUGAGUGCUGGAGAGGAAAGUGGAAUUCCUAGUGUAGCGGUGAAAUGCGUAGAUAUUAGGAGGAACACCAGUGGCGAAGGCGACUUUCUGGACAGUAACUGACGUUGAGGCACGAAAGUGUGGGGAGCAAACAGGAUUAGAUACCCUGGUAGUCCACACCGUAAACGAUGGAUACUAGGUGUAGGGUGUGAUAAACGCUCUGUGCCGUCGCAAACGCAGUAAGUAUCCCACCUGGGGAGUACGGCCGCAAGGUUGAAACUCAAAGGAAUUGACGGGGGCCCGCACAAGCAGUGG
rnacentral:rRNA from 1 species